rnacentral:rRNA from 1 species
GACGAACGCUGGCGGCGUGCUUAACACAUGCAAGUCGAACGGUGACGAGGAGCUUGCUCCUCCGAUCAGUGGCGAACGGGUGAGUAACACGUGAGUAACCUGCCCCAGACUCUGGGAUAACAGUUGGAAACAGCUGCUAAUACCGGAUACGAGACGGAGAGGCAUCUCUACCGUCUGGAAAGUUUUUCGGUCUGGGAUGGACUCGCGGCCUAUCAGCUUGUUGGUGAGGUAAUGGCUCACCAAGGCGACGACGGGUAGCCGGCCUGAGAGGGCGACCGGCCACACUGGGACUGAGACACGGCCCAGACUCCUACGGGAGGCAGCAGUGGGGAAUAUUGCACAAUGGGCGAAAGCCUGAUGCAGCGACGCCGCGUGAGGGAUGACGGCCUCGGUUGGUAACUCUUCUAGUCAGGAAGAAGACGAAAGUAGACGGUACCGUACGCGAGAAGAAGACGACCGGCCGUAACUACGUGCCACGCAGCCGCGGUAACGUAGUACGU